UACGGAGGGGGCUAGCGUUGUUCGGAAUUACUGGGCGUAAAGCGCGUGUAGGCUGCUUGGAAAGUCGGAUGUGAAAGCCCUGGGCUCAACCUAGGAAGAGCAUUCGAAACUUCUGAGCUUGAGUAUCGGAGAGGAAGGCGGAAUUCUCGGUGUAGAGGUGAAAUGCGCAGAUAUCAGGAGGAACACCGAUUGCGAAGGCAGCUCGCUGGAACGUUACUGACGCUGAGACG
rnacentral:rRNA from 1 species